UGUAGGCGAGGAGAGAAUCCUAAGGUGAUCGAGAGAACUCUCGUUAAGGAACUCGGCAAAAUGACCCCGUAACUUCGGGAGAAGGGGUGCUCUGGUAGGGUGUUAAAGCCCGAGAGAGCCGCAGUGAAUAGGCCCAGGCGACUGUUUAGCAAAAACACAGGUCUCUGCAAAACCGCAAGGUGAAGUAGAGGGGCUGACGCCUGCCCGGUGCUGGAAGGUUAAGAGGAGAGGUCAGCGCAAGCGUAGCUUCGAAUUGAAGCCCCAGUAAACGGCGGCCGUAACUAUAACGGUCCUAAGGUAGCGAAAUUCCUUGUCGGGUAAGUUCCGACCCGCACGAAAGGCGUAACGAUCUGGGCACUGUCUCAACGAGAGACUCGGUGAAAUUAUAAUACCUGUGAAGAUGCAGGUUACCCGCGACAGGACGGAAAGACCCCGUGGAGCUUUACUGUAACCUGAUAUUGAAUUCCGGUGCAGCCUGUACAGGAUAGGUAGGAGCCUUGGAUUCCGGAGCGCUAGCUUCGGAUGAGGCGUUGGUGGGAUACUACCCUGGCUGUAUUGGACUUCUAACCCAUGCCCCUUAUCGGGGCAGGAGACAGUGUCAGGCGGGCAGUUUGACUGGGGCGGUCGCCUCCUAAAGAGUAACGGAGGCGCCCAAAGGUUCCCUCAGAAUGGUCGUACAUCAUUCGUAGAGUGCAAAGGCAUAAGGGAGCUUGACUGCGAGACCUACAAGUCGAGCAGGGUCGAAAGACGGGCUUAGUGAUCCGGUGGUUCCGCAUGGAAGGGCCAUCGCUCAACGGGUAAAAGCUACCCCGGGGAUAACAGGCUUAUCUCCCCCAAGAGUCCACAUCGACGGGGAGGUUUGGCACCUCGAUGUCGGCUCAUCGCAUCCUGGGGCUGUAGUCGGUCCCAAGGGUUGGGCUGUUCGCCCAUUAAAGCGGUACGCGAGCUGGGUUCAGAACGUCGUGAGACAGUUCGGUCCCUAUCCGUCGCGGGCGCAGGAAAUUUGAGAGGAGCUGUCCUUAGUACGAGAGGACCGGGAUGGACAUACCUCUGGUGUACCAGUUGUCUUGCCAAAGGCAUCGCUGGGUAGCUAUGUAUGGACGGGAUAAAUGCUGAAAGCAUCUAAGCAUGAAGCCCCCCUCGAGAUGAGAUUUCCCAUUACGCAAGUAAGUAAGAUCCCUCAAAGAAGAUGAGGUUGAUAGGUCUGGGGUGGAAGCGCGGCGACGUGUGGAGCUGACGGAUACUAAUCGAUCGAGGACUUAAGCAA
rnacentral:rRNA from 1 species